rnacentral:rRNA from 1 species
GAUGAACGCUGGCGGCGUGCCUAACACAUGCAAGUCGAACGGACAUUUUUUGGAAAGUUCUUCGGAACUGGAAUCUAAAUGUUAGUGGCGGACGGGUGAGUAACGCGUGAGCAAUCUGCCUUUCAGAGGGGGAUAACAGCCGGAAACGGCUGCUAAUACCGCAUAAGCCCACAGCACCGCAUGGUGCAGCGGGAAAAGGAGCAAUUCGCUUCAGGAUGGCCUCGCGUCCAAUUAGGUAGAUGGUGAGGUAACGGCCCACCAUGCCGACGAUUGGUAGCCGGACUGAGAGGUUGAACGGCCACAUUGGGACUGAGACACGGCCCAG